CUGAGACCAAACAGCAGCAAAUGAGCUGUGGUCAGCAGUGUUACAGCACCAGCCUGGUCCAGCCAGGCUUCAGGCCACUGCUCAGAGCCAGCCACUGCUGAAAAACAAGGAGAGGGGGCAGUCAAAGCAGAAUGAGGAACACAGAAGGCCACAGAGAGACGGGGCGCUGGGCAGGGCUUAUCGCACCCCUCAGCCCAGGGAACCUCUGGUGCUCCCUAUUGGGUUCCACAUUUCCAGGGAUCCCCAGAGUAGCACAGUUAGAGGUUCAACACAAGCCUACAAGGAGCAGAGGUGCAGGCACUUCAUGCAGCAUCCCUUUGGAAGUUAUUCAGCUCCUGAGAUGGGAAAAAGCAGUUUUACUUCAACACUCAUACAAACAUCAAAGCGUCCUGCACAGGAAGGAAGGGCUUGAGGAUAACUUCAGAGUUUUCUGGAUGUAUUCUUGGAGGACACACUGCAGAACAGCUACAGCAACUCCUGUUCCAAGCAAAGUCUGAAGGCAGGAAGAACUUUUUACUUAGAAAUCAUACUUAUAAAAACACUGUUCUGUGACUUGUUUCAUCCUGCAAUCUCACAAGUUUCCUCAGACACCUCUUGCAAAAUAACUUUGGG
ensembl:lncRNA